CAGGCUUAACACAUGCAAGUCGAGGGGCAUCAGGAAGAAAGCUUGCUUUCUUUGCUGGCGACCGGCGCACGGGUGAGUAACACGUAUCCAACCUGCCCUUUACUCGGGGAUAGCCUUUCGAAAGAAAGAUUAAUACCCGAUGGCAUAAUGAUUCCGCAUGGUUUCAUUAUUAAAGGAUUCCGGUAAAGGAUGGGGAUGCGUUCCAUUAGGUUGUUGGUGAGGUAACGGCUCACCAAGCCUUCGAUGGAUAGGGGUUCUGAGAGGAAGGUCCCCCACAUUGGAACUGAGACACGGUCCAAACUCCUACGGGAGGCAGCAGUGAGGAAUAUUGGUCAAUGGGCGCUAGCCUGAACCAGCCAAGUAGCGUGAAGGAUGAAGGCUCUAUGGGUCGUAAACUUCUUUUAUAUAAGAAUAAAGUGCAGUAUGUAUACUGUUUUGUAUGUAUUAUAUGAAUAAGGAUCGGCUAACUCCGUGCCAGCAGCCGCGGUAAUACGGAGGAUCCGAGCGUUAUCCGGAUUUAUUGGGUUUAAAGGGAGCGUAGGUGGACUGGUAAGUCAGUUGUGAAAGUUUGCGGCUCAACCGUAAAAUUGCAGUUGAUACUGUCAGUCUUGAGUACAGUAGAGGUGGGCGGAAUUCGUGGUGUAGCGGUGAAAUGCUUAGAUAUCACGAAGAACUCCGAUUGCGAAGGCAGCUCACUGGACUGCAACUGACACUGAUGCUCGAAAGUGUGGGUAUCAAACAGGAUUAGAUACCCUGGUAGUCCACACAGUAAACGAUGAAUACUCGCUGUUUGCGAUAUACAGUAAGCAGCCAAGCGAAAGCAUUAAGUAUUCCACCUGGGGAGUACGCCGGCAACGGUGAAACUCAAAGGAAUUGACGGGGGCCCGCACAAGCGGAGGAACAUGUGGUUUAAUUCGAUGAUACGCGAGGAACCUUACCCGGGCUUAAAUUGCAGUGGAAUGAUGUGGAAACAUGUCAGUGAGCAAUCACCGCUGUGAAGGUGCUGCAUGGUUGUCGUCAGCUCGUGCCGUGAGGUGUCGGCUUAAGUGCCAUAACGAGCGCAACCCUUAUCUUUAGUUACUAACAGGUCAUGCUGAGGACUCUAGAGAGACUGCCGUCGUAAGAUGUGAGGAAGGUGGGGAUGACGUCAAAUCAGCACGGCCCUUACGUCCGGGGCUACACACGUGUUACAAUGGGGGGUACAGAAGGCAGCUAGCGGGUGACCGUAUGCUAAUCCCAAAAGCCUCUCUCAGUUCGGAUCGAAGUCUGCAACCCGACUUCGUGAAGCUGGAUUCGCUAGUAAUCGCGCAUCAGCCACGGCGCGGUGAAUACGUUCCCGGGCCUUGUACACACCGCCCGUCAAGCCAUGGGAGCCGGGGGUACCUGAAGUGCGUAACCGCAAGGAUCGUCCUAGGGUAAAACUGGUGACUGGGGC
rnacentral:rRNA from 1 species